rnacentral:rRNA from 1 species
GACAGAGGUGCCGAGCGUUAGGCGGAAUCACUGGGCUUAAAGCGUGUGUAGGCGGGUCGUUAAGUGCCUUGUGAAAUCCCACAGCUCACCUGUGGAACUGCUUGGCAUACUGGCGGUCUUGAGCCACUUAGGGGCAACCGGAACAAACGGUGGAGCGGUGAAAUGCGUAGAUAUCGUUUGGAACGCCAAUGGUGAAAACAGGUUGCUGGGAGUGCGCUGACGCUGAGACACGAAAGCCAGGGGAGCAAACGGG